rnacentral:rRNA from 1 species
GACAGAGGCCUCAAGCGUUAGGCGGAAUCACUGGGCUUAAAGCGUGUGUAGGCGGAUCGUUAAGUGUCUUGUGAAAUCCCACGGUUCACCCGUGGAACUGCUGGGCAUACUGGCGAUCUUGGGCCAACUAGGGGCAACUGGAACAAGCGGUGGAGCGGUGAAAUGCGUAGAUAUCGCUUGGAACGCCGAAGGUGAAAACAGGUUGCUGGGGUUGUGCCGACGCUGAGACACGAAAGCCAGGGGAGCAAACGGG